GUGGCAUAAACGGUUAAGCAUUUGGCUACUAAACCAAAAGGUUGGUAGUUCAAAUCUACCC
rnacentral:tRNA from 1 species